rnacentral:tRNA from 1 species
GGCCCUAUCGUCUAACGGUUUAGGACGGUACCCUCUCAAGGUACAAAUAGGGGUUCGAUUCCCCUUAGGGCUACCA